CGUCCGUCAAAGACGAUAACAACAGCGAACUGUUCGUGCUAGACCAACCACAUCCAGACGGCUCGGUCGGAAAAGAGUUCGACCUCUACGGGAGUGCUGCCGCGUUCGCCGAAGACCUGUUCCUCGACGAGGAAGCGUCACCAGAGGAACCGAAGAACACGUCCGCGCUAGAGGACAGCUAUCUGAAUGCCUUGGACGUCAUUUGAGAACCCAGCCGGAGGCUCUGCUUGGUACCAGACUGCGCCAGCGCAAGAAAACCAAUAUUGUAGGAGAAGUCGUCGAAGAAUAGUCGACCAUCUGUAUACGUAUACAUUUGCCGAAAACAUGCCAAUUAUUAUUUGUCCGUUGCAUGUGUGUGAUAGUUUCGUAAUAGUAUGCAAUGGUUUUUGCGGAUUACCGGGUGUGCAACCAGGGUGGUGGCGCCACCUGAUGGCGCAGAGUUCAACCAGACAGACACAGAACUAUUUAUUGUGUACUCCACUGCUGACAAGUUUCUGGCAGCGGCGUAAUCUAAACACCUUGUCUUUCUAAAUGUCUUUUCUUUUUUUUUUUUUUCGCAAGAACACUUAUGAAACGCAAGAACGUGUCUAUAAGGCACUGUGUUAAGACGAAGAGCCACAAGCUAUGUCGCUACUCGCGUCCGGUAACCGCUAAUGUUGAGGGCAUAGAAUGACGACUGGAAAACAGUGAGUUAUACGUUUUGAUCUGCCUUACAUCUGUAACAGGCAAAUGGUGCAACAAAAUUAGUUCCUUGGGCUGAUGUACGCGGACGACAUUGUGCUACUAGUGGACAGUGCAAGGGAUUUACAGAUACUUGCGAAUAUAUGUGACAAUGCAGCGACGAAUCUAUCGGGAAUUACAUUUAAUGAAGAAACAAGUAACGAAUUGACAUCAAUUCAACAGCAAGUCAUACCCAUAGUCAAGCAAUAUAAACAUAUAAACACCUGGGUGUGUAUACAUAAACGAAGACCUACUCAAGCAUCUACCAGAUAAUCAAAAUAUAAGGGGAAGAGGAAUUAAGCAAUAAUGAAACAUAAAAAUGAAAAUAAUUUUGGGUUACAAUAAAUACGAGGUGGUGCGAGUAAUUUGGAAAAAUGUAAUGGUGCCAGCGGAAGCAUUCGCAAAUUCGCUGUGCGGAUGCGGUCUCUAAAAAACUUUUAUUACUGCACGCAGUCAUGCUUGUUAAAGGAGCCGUCGUGUUACAGUCAAAGUUUUGAUCUUAUACCCAAUUAGUAAAAUGCGGCCAGGAAUAUAUAAUUGAUCAAGGACUAAUAUACAUCGCGCAACACGAUAAUCCGGUUUAAAAGUGCGCUACAGUGCUAUUAUGGGCGAGCAGUGACGCUCGCCCACAUGAAAGAUAAGCUAUGAAUUCAUAGUUUCUUUAGGCAAAAUAACUAACUCAGAUAUGCAAGACAUUAGGUAUAAUUAAAAGUAGAGCAUGGUGAACUCACUGGUCACCACUCAGUUAUAAACGCUCAUGGAUUCCAUCCACGCAAGCUACCCCGAAAGCAUGAUUAUCUCCUAGAAUGAAUGCAGAUUCCGACGAGAAUACGCCACAAGGAUAACGCGUGCGUUUAAAGAUUACGCUGCAUAGCGCGUUAGCACGCUGUAGCCUGCGGGCCCCGAGCCUGCGGGCCCCGAGGGAAAAUUUGCGAACAGCGUCGACGCGAUAGGUCUCCCGUAUCAACAUGCGCACGUAGUAACUCGCUGUGAAUCCUUAGGAUACGGCCACGCUAGCGGCAAAAAAUGCGCGCGUCAUGCCGCGGGCGGCAAGUUGCCGCGCGUCAGCGCUUUGCCGCGAGGCC